rnacentral:rRNA from 1 species
UAUGGCCAUACCACCCUGAAUGCACCGGAUCUCAUCUGAUCUUGGAAGCUAAGCAGGGUCAGGCCUGGUUCUUGCUUGGAUGGGAGACAAUUCUUGUGGAGCACCUGGCUCAACAUGU